CUCGAACUAUCUGGAGCCUAGGACUCCAUGCAACUCCAUGUCUGCUUCCUUGCUUAGCCCCCUCUAUAUAUAGGCGUGUUGUUUGGCAUUGCAUUCUCGAGCAAGCCAUCUGCAGAUUGCUUCUGAGGACAAGAUGAAGUCACUCAAGCGUAAGAGUCGAAGCGCCACACAUUCCAACAUUUGAGGAUGUGCAUCCUUACACUAGGUGGAGUAUGUGUGUCAGAGUGUAUCACAAAUUUCAUGUGGAGAGAUUCGCUACAAGUGGAAAGAGGCUCAAUAUGGUGUCAUUGGAUGAAAAGGGCAAGAAAAUGGUUGCUAUCAUAUAUGAUGACGAGGUCGAUCGAUUUCAGCCUUCACUUGUAGAGGGGCGAGUAUAUUAUGUAUGGAAGAUGGCUGCAGAACCAG